rnacentral:ncRNA from 1 species
UGUCUCCUCCAUCCUCCUCCUUUGGUGUGGAUUUAGCGCGGCUAUGUGGAUUUAGCGCGGCUCCCACGAGCCGCGCUUUUUUUU